GACGAACGCUGGCGGCGUGCUUAACACAUGCAAGUCGAACGGAGUGGCGAACGGGUGAGUAUUACGUGAGUAACCUGCCCUCAACUGUGGGAUAAGCCUGGGAAACGGGGUCUAAUACUGCAUAGUUGGGGGCGGGCUCGCGGCCUAUCAGCUUGUUGGUGGGGUGAUGGCCUACCAAGGCGGGGACGGGUAGCCGGCCUGAGAGGGAGGUGGGCCAUGUUGGGGCUGAAUGACGGCCCAGGCUCCUACGAGAGGCAGAAGUGGGGGAGAUUGCACAAUGGGCGCAAGCCUGGGGCAGCGACGCCGCGGAAGGGAUGAGGGCGUUCGGGUUGUAAACCUCUUUCGGUACAGAGCGGGUAUGUGCAGAAGAAGCGCCGGCUAACUACGUGCCAGCAGCCGCGGUAAUUC
rnacentral:rRNA from 1 species